rnacentral:rRNA from 1 species
AUGGGUUGCUUCUUCCGCGCGUACAUGCUGGCCAUCGCCAACGCCGUCUGCAUCGGCGGCACGGCCAUGAUCGUCUACGCGUUCGUCAACCUGGCGCGGAAGCCCCACAGCAAGGUGUCCAUCGUCGAGGCCUCCGUCUUCCUCCUCUGCUGGGUUAGCGUCACGGCCGGCGUGUACACGGCCUUCUGCGCCGACCUCUUCCAGCUGUCGGCGCUGAGUCGGUGCCUGGCCUGCAUCCCCGGGGCAAUCCGUGGCGCGGGCCGGCUUCUCUGCCUGCCGUGGCGGUGCGCGCGCGCCCGCCGAAGCGGCGGCGGCGGUGCUCUGCCGCAGUAUCUGGACCAGACACCGAGCCACAUGCCCGUGCUGGCCCGGGAGCCGCCGGUGCAUGGCGUCGCGCGAGCGGUGACGGAGAAUGACAUCCCGGCUUACGAGCAGCCGGAGGGCGGCGGCGGGUCCGAGUGCACGAUUUGCCUCGGGGAGGUGGAGAAGGGGGACGCGGUGAAGCGGAUGCCGGUGUGCCUGCACAUGUUCCACCAGCAAUGCGUCGAUCCGUGGUUGCACGAGCACUCGACAUGCCCGGUGUGCCGGUGCAAUCUCUUCGCGCCGUUGCCGGCCCAAAUGGUAUGA